UACGGAGGGGGCUAGCGUUGUUCGGAAUUACUGGGCGUAAAGCGUGCGCAGGCGGUUUUGUAAGUCUGGCGUGAAAUCCCCGGGCUCAACCUGGGAAUUGCGUUGGAGACUGCAAGGCUGGAGUCUGGCAGAGGGGGGUAGAAUUCCACGUGUAGCAGUGAAAUGCGUAGAGAUGUGGAGGAACACCGAUGGCGAAGGCAGCCCCCUGGGCCAAGACUGACGCUCAUGCACGAAAGCGUGGGGAGCAAACAGG
rnacentral:rRNA from 1 species